rnacentral:rRNA from 1 species
UAAGGAAUAUUGGUCAAUGGAGGCAACUCUGAACCAGCCAUGCCGCGUGCAGGAAGAAGGCCCUAUGGGUCGUAAACUGCUUUUGAACAAGAGAAAACCCCGGUACGUGUACUGGGUUGAUAGUAUUGUUAGAAUAAGCAUCGGCUAACUCUGUGCCAGCAGCCGCGGUAAGACAGAGGGUGCAAACGUUGUUCGGAAUCACUGGGCAUAAAGCGCACGUAGGCCGUCCACUAAGUCGAAUGUGAAAUACCCCGGCUCAACCGGGGAACUGCAUCCGAUACUGGUGGACUCGAGGAUGGUUGGGGUGAGUGGAACUCCAGGUGGAGCGGUGAAAUGCGUAGAUAUCUGGAGGAACACCGGUGGCGAAAGCGGCUCACUGGACCAUCUCUGACGCUGAGGUGCGAAAGCUAGGGGAGCAAACGGGAUUAGAUACCCUGGUAGUCCCUGAGCGGGCUGGCAAGGCGCAU